rnacentral:miRNA from 15 species
GGGGGCCGAUACACUGUCCGAGA